ACAGCUGUUGCGCUCCGGAACCGCCGAGUUCCAACAGAAGGUCCGACCAGCAGCAGCCAAAACCUUUUCGUUCCAAACCUCUGAGUCCGAGCAACAGCAAAGCUAACCCCCAAAACGAACAAACGGGCCGCACCACAGCCAUCAAAACCAAACAAGCAAGACCGCACCAAUAGAGCACGCAAUCACCUCCGCCGGAUGUGGCUGUGAGUGGCCAUAUCCAGAUUCGCCGCAGCUUGAAUUUCC
rnacentral:lncRNA from 1 species